AUUGAACGCUGGCGGCAUGCCUUACACAUGCAAGUCGAACGGUAACGGGCCUUCGGGUGCCGACGAGUGGCGAACGGGUGAGUAAUGUAUCGGAACGUACCUUGCAGUGGGGGAUAACGUAGCGAAAGUUACGCUAAUACCGCAUAUUCUGUGAGCAGGAAAGCAGGGGAUCGCAAGACCUUGCGCUGAUUGAGCGGCCGAUAUCAGAUUAGCUAGUUGGUGAGGUAAAGGCUCACCAAGGCGACGAUCUGUAGCGGGUCUGAGAGGAUGAGCCGCCACACUGGAACUGAGACACGGUCCAGACUCCUACGGGAGGCAGCUGUGGGGAAUUUUGGACAAUGGGGGCAACCCUGAUCCAGCCAUGCCGCGUGAGUGAAGAAGGCCUUCGGGUUGUAAAGCUCUUUCGGCCGGGAAGAAAUCGUAUCAGCUAAUACCUGGUGCGGAUGACGGUACCGGCAUAAGAAGCACCGGCUAACUACGUGCCAGCAGCCGCAGUAAAAC
rnacentral:rRNA from 1 species